rnacentral:sRNA from 1 species
CAACGACUUACAAAAAUCAUUGCGGUGG